CCGGCCCCCGACAGCAAGCUGUCCGCUCCGCCGCGAGGGAGAGCGCAAACCCCGGCUGCUCCCGCCCCGCCCUCGGGUCCUGCGCGCCGCUCUCCUCGGGGGGCGCGCUCCGCGUGAGGCAGACGCGCGCGACCCCGGAGGGCGGGCCCGGCCCCAGGUGUGCCGCUGGGGACGCGCGCGGGUGCAGAUGGCUGGCACACCCCGCCUCCUCAUCCCCAGCCCUCUGCGACCCUCUGGCUUGCACACUGGGGCAGAUGGGUUAAUGCAAAAUGCAGAUGGAUCCCCAGAGAACCGGGUGCUGGGCGGGGGAGAGAGGUGCUGCUGAGGCAUUUGCCUGUCCUCAAAUCAACCUUUAACUUUAGCGGGGCUGGAGAAAGGGGUGUGUGCUUUGGGCUUCCCUAAAGGUUACCUGUCAGUUGUUCAAAGAGCAAGAGCCUCGAGUUAAUGAACCCUUGUUACUGUUCUUAAGAACUGCUGGAAAUAGUUUCUCGGAGGAUCACUCUUCAAUAAGGAGGUACCUUUUGCUAAUUUUACUUAUAGCUUAAAGAAAUACUGAAGACGGGACGAGUCCCUUGUUUUUUGAACCUUUACUAUCAAAGUGUGGUGGGUUUGCAAAGAAAUGUUCGCAUGACUUUUUCUUUGGCAGUGGUAGGGAUUGAAUCUCUAAUGACCCUGGAACUAUGUUUUACAGUUAAAUUAAUGUUAUGACUAGAAGGUUGAGUUCAUCUACAAACCUCUAUCUUAUCCAAUAUAUUUUCACCUUUUGAUUGAAAAUGUUCUGGGCACUGCUUUAAACAGGUGAAGAAGAUAAUCUGUUUUCAGUUAGAGUUAACCUUUUUAUUCUUUUCUUUUGCAGAUAGGAAGUGCAGAGACUCCCAUUCAUGGCUCUCCAUUCUGUUUCCUGCAACAGCACACACACUCUGGUGUCUCACCUGUUUGGAAAUGGCUUAGUGUGUUUGAUAUGUUUAUGUAUUUAUUUUUCCUUUCUUUUUUCUGUACUGGAGAUUGAACCUAGAGCCUCCUGCAUGCUGGGCAAGCAUUCUGCCAUCUAGCUACACAUCCCCAGCCUUCUCCAGAUUUUCUUUAUUUUUGAGACACGGUGUGGGUUAAGUUGUCCAUGUUUGCCUUGAACUUGCAAUCAUCCUGACUCAGCCUCUUCCAAGUACUGAUACAACAGGCAUUUCCCAUCAUACCCCAAUAUCCAGGCUUAUGCUUCACUCUUAAAUUCCUUGACUUCUUGUCAAGACACAGGAAUUUGUUUCUACCUGGAAACAGCUAUGUAAAAUUUAUAUUGGAAUAUGGCAGGGGUGGGGGAUUGGGGAGGAUGUUAUGUUGGCCACCUGUUUGGUUGCUCAGUGUACUUUGUUAGUCUUCAGGGUCCUUGAUUUUAUUUAUUUAUCGACUGACUUUGGGUUCGUGCUUUUGUUAGUACUUUCGUUUUCAUAGUUAGAAAGCUGAAUCAAUUGCUUUCUACUGGUGUUUUUAAUAGAAAGAGAGACACUCUAAUGUGUAUGCUAUUGAAUCAAACAGAAGAAGAGGCCAGUGAUUGUGAGAAUCUGAAUUUCAAAUCUGCAAAAGAAAGGUGCAAAAAGAGACCAUGAACGUAUGGUGCAAUAGCCCUACUUUUGGUGGGAAAAAUAUACAGCCAUUCUGGUGGAGCAAGAUGGGGUCUCCUCAUGAGGUCUCAUGGCCAGUGGUAUCCUUGAAUUUACUCUAUUAGAGAUGGCCUUGAACUGAUCCCUCUGCCUCCAUUUCCUAAGUGCUGUUACAGGCAUACACCAACAUACUUGAUAUUUGCUGUGCUGAGGAAGAAGCCCAGGGCUUUGUGCAUGCUAGGUAAGCACUGUCACUGAGUACAUUCUCAGCUCUUGUUCUGUUCUUUGACACCAAGUCUCCUACUUACAGGCAAGGCUUGCUUGGAAUUCACUACUUAGAUUAGAUUGAAGCAGUCCUGCUUCAGAUUCCUCAGUACUAAUUGAGCCACCAACCUGGCUUCAAAUUAAUUGUUUUUUAAUGUAAAAAUUGCAUACAGAGUUUAGGAUCUUAGCCAUUGGGUGUGUAGUUGAGUGAUGUUAAACAUGUUUACCUUGUUGGAGCAUUACUCCCGUCUUGCAAAUUAAAACUGGCUAGACAACAGAUACCCUGUUUUCCUUCCCCAGAACCUGCCUGGCAACCACUAUGUCUACUCUGCUUCUGCUUGUUUUUUAUUUAAGUAGAGUAAUCCCCUCUAUCUAUGGGGGAUAGUUUUCAAGUUCUCCAAUUAUCUUAGGUACUUCUCAAAGACACACCUAAUAAGCCUUUAUGGGCCAUCCUCAUUCAAACUAUUGCAUUCCACUCCUAGCCCUCAUAGGCUUUUGUAGCCAGUUACAUCCUAAUGCUCAAAUGCACUCAGUCCAACUUUGAAAGUUCCUGUAGUCUAUUACAAUCUCAGCACUGUUUAAAAGUCCAAAAUCUUUAUUGAGACUCAUGACAAUCUCUUUAGCUCUAAUCUCCUGUAAGAUCAAAGUCAAAAGGUGCAUCACAUACUUCCAACAUACAGUGCCAUGGAAUAUAAAGGACCAUUUCAAAAGAGAGGAAAGGGAGCAAUGGACCCAACGAGACCAAAACCCAGCAGGGCAAACUCCACAAAUUUUACAUCUG